ACACCGGCAGCUCGAGUGGUAGCUGUUUUUAUUGGGCCUAAAGCGUUCGUAGCCGGUUUGAUAAGUCUCUGGUGAAAUCCCACAGCUUAACUGUGGGAAUUGCUGGAGAUACUAUCAUGACUCGAGGUCGGGAGAGGCUGGAGGUACUCCCAGGGUAGGGGUGAAAUCCUGUAAUCCUGGGAGGACCACCUGUGGCGAAGGCGUCCAGCUGGAACGAACCUGACGGUGAGGGACGAAAGCCAGGGGCGCGAACCGGAUUAGAUACCCGGGUAGUCCUGGCCGUAAACGAUGUGGACUUGGUGUUGGGAUGGCUUCGAGCUGCCCCAGUGCCGAAGGGAAGCUGUUAAGUCCACCGCCUGGGAAGUACGGCCGCAAGGCUGAAACUUAAAGGAAUUGGCGGGG
rnacentral:rRNA from 1 species